rnacentral:rRNA from 1 species
AUGGAGAGCAGCGCGGCGGCGCGGAUGGAUCCUGAGGCGGCGACGGAGCUGGCGCGGAAGGGGGUCACCCUCCUGCUCCUAGACGUGCCCCAGCACACCCUCCUCGGCCUCGACACCCAGGUGUUCUCGGUGAGCCCCAGGUUCAGAGGGAUCAAGAUGGUGCCCCCAGGCCCACAUUUCCUCCACUACUGCUCCCCCAGCAGAGCAAAAAGGUUCAACAACCAUGAAAUCCUAGCUGAGGACGUGCGAGACUGGGAUAUAGCCAGUGACCGGGGGCAAGGGCAGCGUGCGCAGGUGCUUUCUUUGUUUUCAAUCUAA